UGCCCCAUGGCUGAGUUGGUUACAGCGUCCGACUGUUAUCGUUGUAUGCGAAGACAUCGGAAGGUCGAGAGUUCGAGCCUCUCUGGGGCAG